CUCCCGAUUGCUUCCAGCAAGUAAUUCCUGAGCACUUUUCAAGAAAAAGCCCCAACAUAAAGCAACAUAAUUCCACCCCCUUUCGCCCUUUCUAAGCAGGUAAAAUCAAACAUGAAAUUCCUUUAUUCAAAGGCUUGAUAUAACAAACCAACAAUAUCACCUCAGGAAACCGAAUAUCAAAUCAACAGAGAAAAUACUGACAGCCACAUAGUAGUAGUAGAUACAUGAACAAGUGAGGUUGAGCCAUCAAACCUCAUUCUGACUCUGAAAACAUAGCCACAAUUCAUAAGCUUCUUAGCCCUCAUAAUUCUCUUCAAUGCCCUCCUCAUACUCUACAUCCUCCUCAGCAGUUGCAUCCUGGUACUGCUGGUACUCUGCCACCAAAUCAUUCAUGUUGCUCUCGGCUUCAGUGAACUCCAUCUCAUCCAUUCCUUCUCCAGUGUACCAGUGCAAGAAGGCCUUGCGACGAAACAUGGCUGUGAACUGCUCACUCACCCUCCUGAACAUCUCCUGGAUUGAUGUGGAGUUCCCUACAAAUGUUGAUGCCAUCCUCAAUCCCUUGGGAGGUAUAUCACACACACUAGACUUCACAUUGUUAGGAAUCCACUCCACAAAAUAUGAUGAAUUUUUAUUUUGCACAUUAAUCAUCUGUUCGUCCACCUCUUUGGUGCUCAUCUUUCCUCUAAACAUAGCUGAGGCAGUCAAGUAGCGGCCAUGGCGGGGGUCAGCAGCACACAUCAUAUUCUUGGCAUCCCA
rnacentral:misc_RNA from 1 species